AGUCGGCAGCGCUGAGUGAGUGGCAGAGGAGAAAGCCACAACUCACCCCUGAUUACAGGGUCUGAGACACCGAACUGGCAAAAGCAUGACGUUGAGACAUGAGAAAAGGUGCAACCUCUUAACAACAGAGACGGAACCAGCUAACGUGACAAGGAACGAUACUGGGGACGUCAGAGCCUGCGGCCUGGCCUGGGCGUUCUCUAGCCACAUGAGUGACUCAGGAGCGCCUCACCUGUGUCCUCAAGUGCUCACACACUCAGAGCUCGCUCUCCUGACACCUCUGGCCCAGAGGCUGAUGAUGAAACUAAGGCUCAGGCGGGGGUAGGAGCAAGUGACGUCCUUGAGACCUUGAAGCUGGUGACGUUGCUGGAACGGGACUCAGCUCCACACAGCGCCAGUCCCAGGAGCGGCCUUAUCCCCCCAGCCCUGUCGCAGGAUGUGGACAGGAAUCUGGAGUCCCCACCCUUGUCCACGCUGGCCCAGGGCCAGGCCCACUGACCUGCCCCGGCAGCACCGGCCACCUGGGAGAAGGGGUUGGCAAAAGCGUCCAGCGAGGACUGACCACGUGCCCAGCAAGGUGCUAAGCGAUAGACCUUCCUUGUCCCCUUUAAUCAUGACAACAGCUUCACUCCCACCUCCCAGGGGCGCAGACUGAGGCCGAGGAGCUGAGACUCGUGUCCAGGACCACACAGAAAGAGAAAACUUUCAUGUGCGGGCAGAGAAUUGACAGUCCUGGGUGCACAGAAAGGAGGUGACUCUCACUGAAUACUGCAGGGCUCCAGCCGCCUCCUGUCUUCUUGGGUUCCAGAACAGAAGAGAACAGGCCAUGUGUGUUUGCUGAGUAAAGAGUCUGAUUGGUUUGGAUGGGUCAGGUUUAGAGGUGGCACCUAGAAUACGAGAUGAUCUUUGACCAACUGUAUGCAGCAGCCAUGUUCUCCACCAUCAGCAGUGGCAAUUUUAAUAUGUAAUCGCAAAUUCUUUUAUUUCUUCUCCCACAGAGAGGUGAAGUCUGUGCCCCUCCCCCUUGAAUGUAUGAGGGCUGUGAUCGCUUUGACCAAUAGUAUAUGGUGGAAGCCAUAUCACUUCCAGGGCUGGGGCCUGAAAGCGGCCAUGUGCGAA